GAUGAACGCUAGCGGCAGGCCUAACACAUGCAAGCCGAGCGGUAGAGAUUCUUCUGAUUCUUGAGAGCGGCGUACGGGGGCGGAACACGUGUGCAACCUGCCUUUAUCAGGGGGAUAGCCUUUCGAAAGGAAGAUCAAUACCCCAUAAUCUAUUUGAUGGCAUCAUUAGAGAUUGAAAGCUUUCGCGGUUAGAGAUGGGCACGCGCAAGAUUAGAUAGUUGGUGAGGUAACGGCUCACCAAGUCGAUGAUCUUUAGCUGGCCUGAGAGGGUGAUCCCCCACACUGGUACUGAGGCACGGACCAGACUCCUACGGGAGGCAGCAGUGUGGAAUAUUGGGCAAUGGGGUAGCAUCUGAUCCAGCCGUCCCGCGUGAAAGAGGACGGCGCUAUGGGAUGUAAACUUCUUUUGUAGAGGGAUAGACCUACUCUCGUGAGAGUAGCUGAAGGUACUGUAAGAAUAAGCACCGGCUAACUCCGUG
rnacentral:rRNA from 1 species